UGCAGUGCUAGCAGGUCAUUCACCCCACCCCACUCCACUUCCUCAGCUACCUCAAGCAACAGGUGACAAAUUUGUGGGGAAAUGAAUGAAUCUCCGGUGCUGCCUUUAUAUAGUGGGUCCCUGAACGGAUGGUAUGAAUUCAAUAUAUUUUCAUGGAAAUGCACUUUCUAAAUUGUUCCACAGGUGUUAUAAUCUGACAUGGCAAUUGCUGAACUGGCAUGAGACCAGCAAUGCAAGAAAAGUUUCAAUGUACCAGUAGCCUGUGAACUAAUGAGGAGAAGAUAUCUCAUCCCACCACUUCAGGGCAAAACUGUUUCACCUUGAUGAGAUGGUGCUUCAGGCAUGUUUUCCCCAAGAAUCAAUACACAGAGACAUCAGUAGCACCCAACCACAGCCACACCUGUACCAAGUCUGUGCCAACAACGAAUGAGCCAGCUCCGCAGCUUCAUCUCCUGCUGCCAACCUCUCUGGUAAUGCUUCCAUGCCAACCUAUACGUAGAAGGCUACACAUCCUGAGCAUCAUCAAGGCAAAUUCAGACUCACCAAAGUUAGGUUAUUGACCCACUUGACUUUCUCUGGUUUCUCCCAUGUCAUCUAUUUUUCCUGCUUGUAUUUUCAAAACUAAGACCAGCAUGUAUUGCUUUUUAUGGCCUUUCUUUUCCAGUCAGGGUGAAAUCGAACUGAACAAGCCCAGUGAACCAUAGUUGUGUGCUUGCAACUACCUGACUAUAUCUUAAGACCAUAGAUAAACUACGUGGUUUUAACAUCAUACCUGACAAGGAGACAUACUAGGUUCAAAGCUUG
rnacentral:lncRNA from 1 species